rnacentral:rRNA from 1 species
CAUUAAAACAGUUAUAGUUUAUUUGAUAAUCGAAUUUACAUGGAUAACCGUGGUAAUUCUAGAGCUAAUACAUGCUGUUAAGCCCGACUUUGAGGAAGGGCUGUAUUUAUUAGAUAACAAAUCAAUAUUCCUUGUGUCUAUUGUGAUGACUCAUAAUAACUGAUCGAAUCGCAUGGGCUUUGCCCGCGAUACAUCAUUCAAGUUUCUGCCCCAUCAGCUUUCGAUGGUAGUGUAUUGGACUACCAUGGCUUUCACGGGUAACGGAGGAUUAGGGUUCGAUUCCGGAGAGGGAGCCUGAGAAACGGCUACCACAUCUAAGGAAGGCAGCAGGCGCGUAAAUUACCCAAUCCUGACUCAGGGAGGUAGUGACAAGAAAUAACGGACCGAAGCCUAUGUUUCGGGAUUGCAAUGAGUAGAAUUUAAACCCCUUUACGAGGAUCAAUUGGAGGGCAAGUCUGGUGCCAGCAGCCGCGGUAAUUCCAGCUCCAAUAGCGUAUAUUAAAGUUGUUGCAGUUAAAAAGCUCGUAGUUGGAUUUCUGGAGGGGUGCCAAUGUCCGAUUGUUUCGUGUGCAGCGGCGCCCUUCCAUCCUUCUGUUAACGUUUCUGAUAUUCAUUUAUUGGUCUCGGGCUCAGAUAUUUUACCUUGAGAAAAUUAGAGUGUUCCAGGCAGGCUUGCGCCGGAAUACAUUAGCAUGGAAUAAUAGAAUAGGACUUUAGUCUCCUUUGUUGGUUUGAGGGACUGAAGUAAUGAUUAAUAGGGAUAGUUGGGGGCAUUAGUAUUUAAUUGUCAGAGGUGAAAUUCUCGGAUUUGUUAAAGACUAACUUAUGCGAAAGCAUUUGCCAAGGAUGUUUUCAUUAAUCAAGAACGAAAGUUAGGGGAUCAAAGACGAUCAGAUACCGUCCUAGUCUUAACCAUAAACUAUGCCGACUAGGGAUCGGAGGCGCGCCUUAUCCGCCUUCGGCACCUUAUGAGAAAUCAAAGUCUUUGGGUUCUGGGGGGAGUAUGGUCGCAAGGCUGAAACUUAAAGGAAUUGACGGAAGGGCACCACCAGGAGUGGAGCUUGCGGCUCAAUUUGACUCAACACGGGAAAACUUACCAGGUCCAGACAUAGUGAGGAU